rnacentral:rRNA from 1 species
GAUGAACGCUGGCGGAAUGCUUUACACAUGCAAGUCGAACGAUGAAGCCUAGCUUGCUAGGUCGAUUAGUGGCGAACGGGUGAGUAAUAUAUCGGAACGUAUCCAAUGAUGGGGGAUAACUAGUCGAAAGAUUGGCUAAUACCGCAUACGUCCUACGGGAGAAAGCUGGGGAUCGUAAGACCUGGCGUUAAUGGAGCGGCCGAUAUCUGAUUAGCUAGUUGGUGAGGUAAAGGCUCACCAAGGCGACGAUCAGUAGCUGGUCUGAGAGGACGAACAGCCACACUGGAACUGAGACACGGUCCAGACUCCUACGGGAGGCAGCAGUGGGGAAUUUUGGACAAUGGGCGAAAGCCUGAUCCAGCCAUUCCGCGUGAGUGAAGAAGGCCUUCGGGUUGUAAAGCUCUUUCGCAAGGGAAGAACACUUACUUAAUAACACUAAGUGAGGUUGGCGGUACCUUGAUAAGAAGCACCGGCUAACUACGUGCCAGCCGCCGCAGUAAAAC